CUUUUUGGUAACCCGAUGCUACUUUUUCUUGGCAACUAUCAUGUUUUUCCCAAACGAUGUACACAUUUUUAGGCUUUUUGUUAUCAAAUGGCUUGAAAAAUAAUGCAAAUAGCUGCUGUACAUGAAUCAU